rnacentral:pre_miRNA from 2 species
GGAAACUUGAAAACUACCGUUGAAUCGAGAAAUGGACGUCCGAGAUUCGUCCACAUCACCUUGAGUUAAAAUUUAACUCGCAGAUUCACUCAUGAGUUAAAAUUUUACUGGGAGUUAAAUUUUAAGUCAUGGUGACGUGGAUGAAUCUCGGACGUCCAUUUCUCGAUCCAACGGUAGUUUCCAAGUUUCC